ACGCUGGCGGCGUGCCUAAUACAUGCAAGUCGAACGGUCUUUCUAUGGAAGCUUGCUUCCACUGAGAAGAUAGUGGCGAACGGGUGAGUAACACGUGGGGUAACCUGCCCAUAAGAGGGGGGAUAACAUCCGGAAACGGGUGCUAAUACCGCAUAGUUUUCUUGGUCGCAUGAUCGGGAAAGGAAAGACGGCCUUUGUGCUGUCGCUUAUGGAUGGACCCGCGGCGUAUUAGUUAGUUGGUGAGGUAACGGCUCACCAAGACGAUGAUACGUAGCCGACCUGAGAGGGUGAUCGGCCACAUUGGGACUGAGACACGGCCCAAACUCCUACGGGAGGCAGCAGUAGGGAAUCUUCCGCAAUGGACGAAAGUCUGACGGAGCAACGCCGCGUGAGUGAAGAAGGUUUUUCCGGAUCGUAAAACUCUGUUGUCAGAGAAGAACAAGUUGGAGAGUAACUGCUCCAGCCUUGACGGUAUCUGACCAGAAAGCCACGGCUAACUACGUGCCAGCAGCCGC
rnacentral:rRNA from 1 species